UAGCUCAGUUGGUAGAGCAUGGUACUUGCUAUGUCAGGAUUGUGGGUUUGAUUCCCAU
rnacentral:tRNA from 1 species